rnacentral:rRNA from 1 species
UGGCGGCAUGCUUACACAUGCAAGUCGAACGGCAGCACGGGGGCAACCCUGGUGGCGAGUGGCGAACGGGUGAGUAAUACAUCGGAACGUGCCUGUAGUGGGGGAUAGCCCGGCGAAAGCUGUAUUAAUACCGCAUACGBUCUACGGAGGAAAGGGGGGGAUCUUAGGACCUCCCGCUACAAGAUCAGCCGAUGUCAGAUUAGCUAGUUGGUGGGGUAAAGGCCUACCAAGGCGACGAUCUGUAGCUGGUCUGAGAGGACGACCAGCCACACUGGAACUGAGACACGGCCCAGACUCCUACGGGAGGCAGCAGUGGGGAAUUUUGGACAAUGGGGGCAACCCUGAUCCAGCAAUGCCGCGUGUGUGAAGAAGGCCUUCGGGUUGUAAAGCACUUUUAGUCCGGAAAGAAAACGCCGUGGUUAAUACCCGUGGCGCAUGACGGUACCGAANAAAUAAGCACCGGCUAACUACGUGCCAGCAGCCGCGGUAAUACGGAGGGUGCAAGCGUUAAUCGGAAUUACUGGGCGUAAAGCGUGCGCAGGCGGUUCCCGUAAGACAGAUGUGGAAAUCCCCGGGCUUAACCUGGGAMCUGCAUUUGUGACUGGVGGGCUAGAGUAUGGCAGAGGGGGGUAGAAUUCCACGUGUAGCAGUGAAAUGCGUAGAGAUGUGGAGGAACUACCGAUGGCGAAGGCAGCCCCCUGGGCCAAUACUGACGCUUAUGCACGAAAGCGUGGGAGCAAACAGGUUUAGAUACCCUGG